AUUGAACGCUGGCGGCAGGCCUAACACAUGCAAGUCGAACGGUAACAGGAAGCAGCUUGCUGCUUCGCUGACGAGUGGCGGACGGGUGAGUAAUGUCUGGGAAGCUGCCUGAUGGAGGGGGAUAACUACUGGAAACGGUAGCUAAUACCGCAUAAUGUCGCAAGACCAAAGAGGGGGACCUUCAGGCCUCUUGCCAUCGGAUGUGCCCAGAUGGGAUUAGCUUGUUGGUGGGGUAACGGCUCACCAAGGCGACGAUCCCUAGCUGGUCUGAGAGGAUGACCAGCCACACUGGAACUGAGACACGGUCCAGACUCCUACGGGAGGCAGCAGUGGGGAAUAUUGCACAAUGGGCGCAAGCCUGAUGCAGCCAUGCCGCGUGUAUGAAGAAGGCCUUCGGGUUGUAAAGUACUUUCAGCGGGGAGGAAGGGAGUAAAGUUAAUACCUUUGCUCAUUGACGUUACCCGCAGAAGAAGCACCGGCUAACUCCGUG
rnacentral:rRNA from 1 species